rnacentral:tRNA from 1 species
AUAUAGCUCAAAGGCAGAGUGUUUGCCUACUGUGCACAAAGCUCUGGGGUCAAUCCCCAGUAU